rnacentral:lncRNA from 1 species
CAAACCUUCUACUUAGGGAUGCUUAUGGUGGCCAGUUUUUCUCCGUGACUGAAUGAGGAAAUAUAAGAAAAGGCUCUGACCUGUGGGCUAUUCGAAGCAAUAAAGGGAAUAUUUAAAUUUCUGUCUGCUUGAUUCUUCUUAAUUAGUCCAAAAUGAGGCUGUGAAAGAGGGUGCUAUUUAUUACUCCCACCCCAACAUUAUUGUACCAUUAAACCGUAAGAACAUAGCUUAAAAUUUACAAGGCUUUUUGUUGAAUGUAGUUACUCACGAAUGACGACUAUUGUGAUGUUACGUAACUUCUUGUCGUGAAUGUAGUUCCUCUUCCACAAUUUCAUGUCUAGAGUUAGAUUUGCUUUUUCUUCUUUUUUUUUUUAACCACAAGAAGCACAUAUUUUUAUGACUUUGGUAGAACUGUGAUGUACUUUUCGUCAUUCUAUGAUUUCAGUUCCUUACAACAUCAUUCUUAAUGGGAAUGACAUUAUCUGGAUAGCUUGGCCCAGCCUGGUCAUCCCACCCUAUUGGCAGCAGGACAACUGUGAGACAGAAACAAACAGUUUGGGCCAGGCGAAAUCAGCCCCUGGGGAAAGUGGAAAUGGGGUGCAGAGGGCUUGUGGAAAGAUGAAUAAGAACAAGGAAGAAGUUUGGGUAAGGAUGAGAUUAAAAUAAAAACUGGAAUAUGUGAUUCUAAUUUUAAAAAAGGUGAGAUAAUAUUUUUGAGAUAUUAAUCAAGUUUUUCUCUGGAUUUUUUUGUUCAUUCCUGGCAUCCUGUCUCCUAAAUGAAUCUCCUUCUCCUUCCCUCCUUGCAGAAUAAAGCUGGUUGGCAUGUGGCAUAUGAACAGAUGACACUGAAGACCAGAUUCUACUUGUUCUUUCUCCAGUGCUUCCACAUAUAAGCACACCUGGUCACUGAGGAAGCCCCUAUAAUUGUAGAUAAAUCUUAGAAAAGGGAAUGGGAGUCACAGGAUUAACUGAAAUUGUUUUAUCACUCCAGGGACUUUCUGCUGCAGUAGAAAUUCACUAGUUAGAAUGAAAUAAAUAAUAUUAAAUUCUUGAAUAUCUGAGUUUGAGGAUAAGAUUCAAAUAUAAAACACAUACACAUUACAUCUAUUUUUCCUGUUGAAAUCCCAGUCCCCA